GAUGAACGCUAGCGGCAGGCCUAACACAUGCAAGUCGAGGGAGAAGCCUUCGGGCUGAAACCGGCGCACGGGUGCGUAACGCGUAUACAAUCUGCCUUUCACAUAGGGAUAGCCCGAAGAAAUUUGGAUUAAUACCUAAUGGUAUAUAAGAGCGGCAUCGUUUUUAUAUUAAAGCUACGGUGGUGAAAGAUGAGUAUGCGUUCUAUUAGCUAGUUGGAGAGGUAACGGCUCCCCAAGGCGACGAUAGAUAGGGGUUCCGACAGGGAUGUCCCCACACUGGUUCUGAGUACGAACCAGACUCCCACUGAAGGCAGCAUGGGCGAAAUUGCCGUGGUUGAAAGAUGAUGUGCCAUGCCACCUGUCGGUCGGUUGCUUAUGGUGUGGAAUUGUUUCUUGAUUGUAAAAUUUUGCACUUCUGCUUUGGUGUAGGUGUGUGUGUGGUUGAUUUUGUGAUGUUGUGUGGAUCUGCUGUGUAUAUGUGGUGUGCUGUGCUGUGGUGGGUUGUUGUCUUGUGUGUGGUGAAAGAGAUUGUUUGUGGUGUGAGGGGUGUUGUUGAGUGUGCUCUGUUGUUGCAGUGAUGGCUCAUAUCUCGUAAUGCUGAUGUAUACUGAUGUGUGUUUGUAGGUGAAUAGUGUUGUAGAUGUGUAGUGUGCAGUAGUGUGCUGGUCGCUUUGUGAUGUAUGUGGUGCAUGUGUUUGUUUGUAGAUUGUGUCGUGGUGUGUACUGUGUUUGUUAUUGGUCCCUAUCCUAUGGAUGAUGUG
rnacentral:rRNA from 1 species